AUGUUAAGAUUAACGUCAAUUCAUGUCAUAUCAUGUUUACGUCGUGCGUUGCAUUUAACAUUGUAUGAAUGUCGAAAAUAAAAAUAACGUCGGUCGUUUAUUCUGAACAAUGAUAUCAAUAUGCGUUCGCUGUAUCACGUUAAUAAAAAAUAAAUUUUAAUAUAUAAUUUGAUAACGUUAUGACGCGAAUGCGACCGAUGCGACACAGUUGGCGAAAUAUGCAAUAAAAGAAACAUAAAUCGCUGUAGACCUUAACAAAAUUUGCGGGCUCAGAAUACUAUUUUGACCGUGUUUCUGUAUAUUUCAUUACAAGUGGCAAGUCGAUCUUUGCAAUUAAAAUUUUUCACCCAAGAAAGAAUAUAUAUUUGAUACAACACAUUCAAGAACGAGCUGAUCAACGUUUUCAUCAACAAGUGCUGCUAUAUUGUAGCGUGAUCAAAAUAUAAGCAACGUCUCUUCACAAGGAAUUCCUACAACUGGCACAACAAGAGAAAGACAUUCUCAACGAAACAGUGGUU